GGAAAAAAUGGUACCUAACCUAUACACUAUUUUUGUUUUUUGUGCGCCUCUCUCUCUCUCUCUUUUUUUCUGUCUCCGAAGUAGUAAUUGUCAUAAAAACAUGGGAUGAAGGACAUUUUAAGAGUCUUAAGUGUAUUGGAUUUGAUGAAAAUGCCCCUGUUUUUUUGUCACAAAGCACCACGGAAGAUGCCACCACCAGUCGGAGUGCCACGACUGGAAAGAGCAGGUCUCCUCUUCUUACGGAUCUCCAUAGAAGCAUCUUUUUUUCGUUGCUCUGAACCGUUUGAAAUCGGACGGCAGGUUUUCGAUGGUUGGUGGGAGUUGUGCAUAACUUCACAGCUGACUAUUUCUGAACCACUUCUGUAAGCGGAGGUGAUUUUAAAGCAGGUUUUUGGAUUGUCUAUACCAUCUGGUUAAAUAUUUCUUUGGCCUGGGAGUGAGAGUACCAGCAGUGGCUGGUUGUGUUUUAAUCCCAGAAGAUGCACCGUGUGUACACCAGGACCCAUCUGUUCUGUUCAAAGUGGUGGCAGUCUGAAUGUGUAUUGAAUGCCAGCUUACCCGAUGGUAUAGUUGGGCCUUGAUAAGGCUUCCAAUCCCUGCCACCCUUGUAGGGCUUUGUGGGUUCCUUAGGACAGAGAGAAGAGAGAUAAGUGGAGAAGAGGGUGUGUUUGUACCUGCUAUUUCUUCAGCAUGCUGUUCAGGUGGAACGUGAACCCCACAAAUUGAACUGUCUGGUGUCUCACGAGGGCUGGGUGAUGCUGUCUGCCGGCCAGUGUGCCCUGCUAUUGCAUACCUGUCUUAAUGAGGAAAGAAUGGGCAAAGGCACCUCCUUCACUUGAACUUCCAGAGGAGGCUUCAUAGCUAGGCUUAAUCCCAUUCCCCUCUGCUCUCCCUGACUGGGACGGUCUUCUCUUUUCCAUGGAUUCUCGUUUGCCUCCCUUUUUAUUUUAUUUUAUUUUUUUUUAGUUACUAUAACCUGAUGUGAGAAAUCAUGGUUCAUGAAGACAGUCCUAGCUGGCGCGAUUGUCUCUGGAGAAAACUACCCCUGGGUGUCCUGUGCUGCUGCUGCUGCUGCUUAUUAUUAUUAUUAUUGUAUCCCUCCAUUUUUUAGGUUAGUUUCCUGGAAUUGAGGUCUGGGCUUCAGCUUUUGUCCACCCGGGAAGUUACCCAGUGAAGUUAUUUGAGCAGUUAUUCUCAUGAAGCCAAGGAAGGGCCAAAUCCUGAGUGGUGGGAGAUAAAUUCUUCAACUCCCCUUGGUUCCACUGGGUGCUUGGUCCUGGGCUGCUAUCACCUGAGAAAUAACGUACCUGAGGCCCAAGUCUGCCCUUUUAUCCAACGCUUACUCCAUGAAAAGCAGGGCAGGAAGACAAAGAGAGCCCAAUUGCAAUUGGCUACAGGGAAGGGUUCAUGAUAAAAGGGGGUCCCUUUGCCCAGCCUCCUUCCCACCAUCCAGCUCUCUCUUAGCGAGUGAUUGUUUUAGUUUUUAAGAACGCACAGCAGAAACUCCUGUGCCUUUUCCAAGCACUGCCCGAAGCACCGUCUGCCACGUGGGAGCCCGGUACUUUGCCAAGAGAUAAGUGUUCCUUAAAUGACAACGCAUUGAAUUGAGCUCUUUAACCCCGCACCGGCUAGACCCCUUCUCCAUGGGGCCCAGUUGCUCCGUUCCAUCUUCCUGGUCAAGGUAGACCGAUGAAAAGUCCCUCUUCAAGGGUCUUCUGUCCAGCGCUGGUCAAGGGGUGGAUGCUAGGCUCAAUGCACUGCCAACACCCAGAAGAACUAACCCCCACUGCCCAUCUGAAUACCAAAUCCCACACGAAGCACCUACCCCUUCCAUUCGGAUGAACCCAUCUGCUUCCUUCAUUUCUGUUGUGCUUCAUCUGAAUUUCUUAUCAUUUGGAGGGGCGGGAGGGGGAAAAUAGUCGUUUCUUGGGUUUAUACAACCUAUCUGACAGGAAACGUGCAAAGCUUUUUGCUUCAUUUUGUUCUGUUCUAAAGGUUGCAUU